UGGCGAACGGGUGAGUAACGCGUGAGGAACCUGCCUCAAAGAGGGGGACAACAGUUGGAAACGACUGCUAAUACCGCAUAAGCCCACGGGUCGGCAUCGACCAGAGGGAAAAGGAGCAAUCCGCUUUGAGAUGGCCUCGCGUCCGAUUAGCUAGUUGGUGAGGUAACGGCCCACCAAGGCAACGAUCGGUAGCCGGACUGAGAGGUUGAACGGCCACAUUGGGACUGAGACACGGCCCAG
rnacentral:rRNA from 1 species